UACGAAGGGUGCAAACGUUGCUCGGAAUUAUUGGGCGUAAAGCGCACGUAGGCGGCUUAGCAAGUCGGAAGUGAAAUCCCUCGGCUCAACCAAGGAAGUGCUUUCGAAACUGCUGAGCUUGAGUACGAAAGAGGAUCGCGGAAUUCCCGGUGUAGAGGUGAAAUUCGUAGAUAUCGGGAGGAACACCAGUGGCGAAGGCGGCGAUCUGGGUCGAUACUGACGCUGAGGUGCGAAAGCGUGGGGAGCAAACGGG
rnacentral:rRNA from 1 species